rnacentral:rRNA from 3 species
AGAGUUUGAUCAUGGCUCAGAUUGAACGCUGGCGGCAGGCCUAACACAUGCAAGUCGAGCGGUAGCACAGAGAGCUUGCUCUCGGGUGACGAGCGGCGGACGGGUGAGUAAUGUCUGGGAAACUGCCUGAUGGAGGGGGAUAACUACUGGAAACGGUAGCUAAUACCGCAUAAUGUCGCAAGACCAAAGUGGGGGACCUUCGGGCCUCAUGCCAUCAGAUGUGCCCAGAUGGGAUUAGCUAGUAGGUGGGGUAACGGCUCACCUAGGCGACGAUCCCUAGCUGGUCUGAGAGGAUGACCAGCCACACUGGAACUGAGACACGGUCCAGACUCCUACGGGAGGCAGCAGUGGGGAAUAUUGCACAAUGGGCGCAAGCCUGAUGCAGCCAUGCCGCGUGUGUGAAGAAGGCCUUCGGGUUGUAAAGCACUUUCAGCGGGGAGGAAGGCGAUAAGGUUAAUAACCUUGUCGAUUGACGUUACCCGCAGAAGAAGCACCGGCUAACUCCGUGCCAGCAGCCGCGGUAAUACGGAGGGUGCAAGCGUUAAUCGGAAUUACUGGGCGUAAAGCGCACGCAGGCGGUCUGUCAAGUCGGAUGUGAAAUCCCCGGGCUCAACCUGGGAACUGCAUUCGAAACUGGCAGGCUAGAGUCUUGUAGAGGGGGGUAGAAUUCCAGGUGUAGCGGUGAAAUGCGUAGAGAUCUGGAGGAAUACCGGUGGCGAAGGCGGCCCCCUGGACAAAGACUGACGCUCAGGUGCGAAAGCGUGGGGAGCAAACAGGAUUAGAUACCCUGGUAGUCCACGCCGUAAACGAUGUCGAUUUGGAGGUUGUGCCCUUGAGGCGUGGCUUCCGGAGCUAACGCGUUAAAUCGACCGCCUGGGGAGUACGGCCGCAAGGUUAAAACUCAAAUGAAUUGACGGGGGCCCGCACAAGCGGUGGAGCAUGUGGUUUAAUUCGAUGCAACGCGAAGAACCUUACCUGGUCUUGACAUCCACAGAACUU